UCCAGACUCCCUGCUCUCAGGGCAGCCCUGAGCCUGCAAGAGGACACACAGACCCAGAUUCUUUAAAAAAUAACGGCUUUGAGGCCGACCCGGUGGUGCAGCAGGUGGAAGGAGAAAACAAACACGGCUGUUAGAGGAGUUUGUGCUCUAACAGAACAGAUUCAUGCACCCGUGACAUGAAGACGUGGACCAGAGCUGGACCCCUAUUGAGGACAUGUUAGCUGGAGUUCUAGCAUCCCUCUUGAGACCUGAGACAACCUCAAAGUUGGAAGCUGUGGUCUUAGGAGAGUGGAGCAGAAGCUAGAAGGAGCCGGGGUCUCUGAUGAGACAGUGGGGCCACCAUGCCAGCCACGGGCUACCCACCUCCAACUACUCUUCCGCCAUGAGAAGAAGCCUGGACUAGCCUGCUGAGGAUGAGAGACCGACCACAUAGAGCAGAACAUCUGAAAAGCAACCGACCAGAGAUAUGCAGUUUCUUUAAAACCCACCCGCCUUCCUUUGAUCCCCUGGAAGAGGUGGACUUCCUGACCUUGGCCUUGGGGUAUGGAUGUCCCUGUCCCCAUCAAAUCUCCAAACAAAACAGAACAAAUUCCCCUUCCUGACCAAGUUCUCGAACAGAGGCUGUGAGGACACCCCCACCCUGCAUUUUCCUUUCUGCCUUUUGAGUCCAGCUGUUCUGGCUACGCAUUCCGCACUACCAGCUUGCUCCAGCUCCCGUUGGAUGGGGACGCCGUGGUGCACUGAGGUCACCAUGGGCCUCAGGUCUGUCUCAUCAACCCCUAGAGGAUGGGGGUCAUAUUCCUGGAAUAGCUCCAAGAAGCCCCACCCAGUUUUAGGUCAAAAGCUUGACAAAUAAGUAUUGUUUCAACAGCAGAGGCCCUGGCUUGAGGUAAGUUGGAAUCAGACCAGUCCUGUGGGGCCAGAACAAUCUGGUGGAGCCUGAGGUCUGCAGGCAGCCUGUUUGCACAGUUGAUGAGGUAAAGGAGAUGAUGAGGAGAAUGCACAAUAUUGCUAAGUUUCCAUUCACUAUUGCCCUCCCGUACCCUACACAUACUUACACAUACACACACAUACACUUGUUCACAUACACACUCUCUCACACACUCACACACUUGCUCUCUUACACACUCACACUCACACACCUGCCCCAGGGACUCAUGGUUUUAAGGCCGGGGGUGAGAGGGCUGCUCCAG
rnacentral:lncRNA from 1 species